rnacentral:tRNA from 1 species
GAGGGUAUAGCUCAGUGGUAGAGUGCCUGCUUGGUGUGUACGAGGUCCUGGGUUCAAUCCCCAGUGGCUCCC